UUUUUUUGCGCUCACACAGAUUCAGAAAUGAACACCAUGAUGAUCAGCCUAGCCUCUCUCACUGCCACCAUACUCACUCUCUCUGGACUGGAGGCAAUCGUCACCCUAACUCAGGAGAAGUCUAUAUCUGCCAAACUUGGCCAAAAUGUGCAGAUUAGAUGCACCAGGGACAGCGGUCGCUGGAAAAUAUCCUGGUACCAGCAGAAUCCAGGCAGUGCUCCAAAGUUUUUGCUCGCAGACAGCAACAGGGCAUCUGGUUUAGCCAGCAGAUUCACCUACACUGAUAAUGGACUGAAUGAGUACCUGAACAUCAAUGGAGUGACAGCGGACGACGAGGCAGUGUACUACUGUGGGUGCAUCAUCUGUGACAGCCACCACAGUGUGACACUUCCCUAUAUCUCCAAUACACUAAACCUCUUAUAGCCACAUACAGGCAUUAACAUGUAAAAACCUCCACAUGGACUGAUACCAUGUCAGUAUGCCUAUCAGACUGGAUCAGGUGAUGACUGGGACCCAACUUCCUGUCUAAUGGAUGACCAUUUCCUGCUGUUCAGCCAAGCUGUCCCCUGAAUUCCAGGAGCAGUGGAGCAUGGCUCCCCAUUGCAAACAGUUGUGCUGUAGCAGAGGGAGUUUAUGUACGGCGAUGUAUCACUGUGCCACGGCAGCAUUGGUCAAGGCACACAGCUGACUAUUACUGAUGCCCGUCCCCAAUCCCCCCCUGAGCUGGUGGUGCUGGCCCCCUCCCAGGCCCUCUCCUCUGGGGACAGGCCUACUGUGGUGUGCCUGGCUCAGGGCUUCUACCCUGAUGGUGCCACCCUGAGCUGGUCAGAGGAUGGCAAAGAAGUGGCGGCCACUGACUUCCAGACGGGCCCGUCUCAGCGCCAGUCUGAUGGCACCUUCUCCCUCAGCAGCGUCCUGACGGUGCAGCCGCAACGCUGGCACUCUGGCCGUUCCUACAGCUGCCAGCUGCAGCACUCUGCCCUCUCCAGGCCUCUGAGCAAGGCUGUGGACAACGCUCACUGCAGCUAGACGGGGAGAGUGUAGGCAUAACUGUACUCCCUCAUGCUUGCUCUUCCUAACUGAAUUGCUUCUUCAAACCUUUUUUUUCUGAAAAGCAAUGGUAUCUUGAGUGUGUGCACAUUUUAUGACUACUUGUCUGCUUAAAUGUGUGGUACAUACUAUUAUUUUAAUAAUUAGUGUCAAUAAUUAUCUUUUUUAAUUUUAA